CGAAGUCGUGCGCGGCCUGGCAGUGCUGCAACCGCUACAGCAGCCGCAGGAAGCAGCUCACCUUCCACCGCAGGUGAGGGAGAACACACACACUGCCAGUGAGAGAGGAAAUGCCAGCUCUUCUCAGAAAGAAAAGGUCCUCCCUGAGGCGGGGGCCGGAGAGGACAGCCCUGGGAGAAACAUGGACACUGCGCUUGAAGAGCUUCAGUUGCCCCCAAAUGCCAAAGGCCCCGUAAAACAGAUCUCGCCACGGAGUCCGCAAGCAGCAGAGACUGUUGGCCGGCCGGCCGGCCCUGCAGGCUUGAGAAGGCCCCCCGACAAGCAGCCAUCUGAUCACAGCUAUGCCCUUUUGGACUUAGAUUCCCUGAAGAAAAAAACUCUUCCUCACUCUGAAGGAAAAUGAAACGCUCCAGAAGCGCUUGCAGGCCCAGAGGCUGGUGAAGCGAAGGAUGUCCAGCUGCCUCCGUGCCUGCAAAGGGCACCGGGGACUCCAGGCCAGACUUGGGCCAGAGCAGCAGAGCUGAGCCCCACAGGCUCCGGACGCAGAGGCGGCAGUGGCACCAGGGCCGGCAGGGCUUUGGAGCUCUGGCUGUGGACAUUUUUGUCUGCUGUGGACAUUGAGAAAGUUGGCCGUGAGGCCUGCCGGGCGGGGGAUUGAAACAGUAACCAAGCUCCCUGGCGAGAGCCCCGACGCCGUCUGAAGGACGUUUAGAGGCAUGGUACUAGGACUGAGCAUGACAAGCUUAUCCUCCCAUAGUAACAGAAGUCCAGGCUGAGGCUGAUUCUGAACUCUGUCCUUUCAGCACGCGCAGAGCGAAGGUCGUUGGAAGCCCCAGUAUGGGAGAUGCUCCUCAGGGAGGAAGCCAUGUGAGGGGGCCGGCUCUGUGGCAGAUUUGUUGGAAUCCUGACCAAACUGGAAAAGUGGCAGUAACCAUGGAAAAGUCAAAGACAAAAUGACAGCCAAAUCACACCAGUAAAUAAGUGGAGUGAAGACACGUCUGUUUUCACAGCUGAACACUGGAAAUUGCAAAUUUGAUUGCCACUGGCAUUGGAUGCUGGAACUGCUUCUGUUUUUACUGACACUAGCAUACCGGGAUACUUCGAAGUUGCUGUAGUCUCUGCAAUAUUGAGUGUUGGAAGGUGCUAGAAAAUGAGUGUCUGUCUUUUUUGUCUUUUAUACUGGAAGGCAAUCACCUAGACCUAUGCUGGAGAGUCAUCCUACAAGGUCAUUCAAAUGUACAAUAAACUGGUAUGUGUAUU
rnacentral:lncRNA from 10 species